AGUGAGCGCUGGCGGUAGGCCUAACACAUGCAAGUCGAACGGCAGCACAGUAAGAGCUUGCUCUUACGGGUGGCGAGUGGCGGACGGGUGAGGAAUACAUCGGAAUCUACUUUUUCGUGGGGGAUAACGUAGGGAAACUUACGCUAAUACCGCAUACGACCUACGGGUGAAAGCAGGGGAUCUUCGGACCUUGCGCGAUUGAAUGAGCCGAUGUCGGAUUAGCUAGUUGGCGGGGUAAAGGCCCACCAAGCCGACGAUCCGUAGCUGGUCUGAGAGGAUGAUCAGCCACACUGGAACUGAGACACGGUCCAGACUCCUACGGGAGGCAGCAGUGGGGAAUAUUGGACAAUGGGCGCAAGCCUGAUCCAGCCAUACCGCGUGGGUGAAGAAGGCCUUCGGGUUGUAAAGCCCUUUUGUUGGGAAAGAAAAGCAGCAGGUUAAUACCCCGCUGUUCUGACGGUACCCAAAGAAUAAGCACCGGCUAACUUCGUG
rnacentral:rRNA from 1 species